UGCUCCCUGGGGAGGGAUGCUCCGUGGUGACGCAGGAGGGCGCAGGGCACACACAGGGCACGUGGCAGAGGGCAGCUGGCACCCUCCUCUGUGGGCUCUGCUUGGUGGCUGUGACCUCCUGUCCCCUGCAAUCGCCGUGGCAGGGGACACCGGCAGGACAGGGCAUCGCCGUGCCUGGGCUGCAGGCCGGCGUUGCUGGCAGCCGGGACCAGCCUUGCCCCUCGUCUCCCCGGGGCUCCCGGCGUUUCCCGGAGCAGGAGGGCGGCCGUUCCGCGAAAACUCGACCUCCUCCGAAGUUCCCCUAAAUUCAAUUCUCGGGAAAGACGACACCAAGGGAAGAGAAAGGAGGUUUUUCUCUGGGGAAGAAAUUCCAGGCACACGCUGGCAGCCGCCGCGGCAGGAGGGGCGGGCGGCGAGAGCAGGCCCUCCGCCGCGGCGCAGAGCGCACACGCAAUUAGCACUUCCAGGACGCCGAGCACGCUUGAACGCUGUGUUUAAAGCGGAUCGAAUCCCCGUCCGAGCGGGGCUGCCAACGCGUUUUGAAAAUAAUUAGGAAGCCAAUCGUUCCAGUGCUUCCCAGAACAGCCCUGCGGUGGAAACCCUGGGGGUUCAGCAGCGCACAGCAAUCCGGGUGCAAAGCCCCAAGCCCCGGGGGCUGCUCUGCCCGGCCGCAGUGCCUCGCGGAGGGCUUCAUCGCUUAAUUUGAAACAGGGCGGGUUGCUCCGGCUGCAGGGCGAUGCUACAGCCGGCACCGCGAGGCGUUUCUCCCUCCCUCGUGGCCCAAGCACGGGUGGAUGAAACAGUUUGGGAACAAACCUCCCUCCGUUGCAAUUUGAGGCACAGGCUCACGUAUGGUGCCAGGUAAAUUAAAAGAAGGGGGAGGAAAAAAAAAAGAGGGCGAGAGGUACAGCCACAACCUGCAAGAAGAACACAUGGAAAAGGAAACGCCUCUGUCGCGCCGAGCACUGCAUGUGUGCGUGCGCGGGUGAGGGCGAGGGGACACCGCAGCCCCCGUCUGUGCAGGGGGCCCUUGCUCCCGCACGGCUGCAGCCGCAGGAGCCCCACGGCACGGCACGGCACGGCACGGCACGGUGCAAUGCGGCUUGGUGCAGCACGGCACAGCACGGCGUCAUGCAGCGUGGCAUGGAGCAGCGUGGCGUGGCAUGGUCCGGCACAGCACGGCGUCGUGCAGCGUGGCAUGGAGCAUGGCACAGUGCAGCACGGUGCAGCGUGGCACGGCACAGCCGUCUCAUGCCAGUCCCCAGCACCGCUGCCCGGGCAGAGCCCCCGGCGAGCCCCGCAGCCCAGCGCGGAAGGGGCCACGGCUGCUGUCGUGCCGGGAUCCCAGGCCUGGGCUCACCCGCCUGCUCCGGGGAAACCCCGGGGCCAGGAGGAGCCGCGUCCCCGGGCAUCGCUGCGAGCCGGAGCUCCCCGCCUGCCCCACGCGCCUCUUCGGCCGGGUACCUCCUGCGCCAUCCGCGCUUACACAUGCAAAGCAUUAGGGUUUGUUUAGAAACUCUUUAUUAUCAUAUUUUGUUCUCUAUUUCCUACAAAUUAAAUUUGCUGAGGGA